GGAGAGAGAGACAGCAGAGCAGACCAGAGAGCGAAUUAGAGAGCCCGGAAGGCGACUUCCCUCCAGAGACUCCAGGGAAGGGAAUUUGAUGACCACGUGACUUCGCCCCCAGAUAGCCGGGCUCGCCUGGCCCUGCGCCAAGUGCUGUCUGUGCAGCCGAAUGAGCGACAAGAAACUGAGGAUCCGAGAAGAGGAAAACAUUGCCCUAGACACAAGAGAGUUAGAGACA